ACGGCUCAGUAACACGUCGUUAACCUGCCCUGAGUCGGGGACAGCCACGGGAAACUGUGGGUAAACCCCGAUAUGGUAUAUCAUCUGGAAUGCGAUAUACCGUAAACUCGUGCUCAAGGAUGGGACGGCGGCCGAUUAGCUUGUUGGUGGGGUAAUGGCCCACCAAGGCGAUGAUCGGUACGGGCCAUGAAAGUGGUAGCCCGGAGAGGGACACUGAGAUACUGGUCCCAGCCCUACGGGGUGCAGCAGGCGCGAAACCUUUACAAUGCACGAAAGUGUGAUAAGGGAAUCCUACGUGCUCAUGCAUUGCAUGGGCUUUUGCCAAUCGUAAAGAGUUUGGCGAAUAAGUGGUGGGUAAGACUGGUGCCAGCCGCCGCGGUAACACCAGCGCCACAAGUGGCAGUCAGUAUUAUUGGGCCUAAAGCGUCCGUAGCUGGACGUGCACAUCCCUUGUGAAAUCACGCAGCUUAACUGCGUGGCGAGCAGGGGACACGACACGUCUUGGGAGUGGGAGGAGUCAGAGGUAUUCGAGGGGGACCGGUAAAAUGGUAUAAUCCCUCGAGGACCACCGGUGGCGAAGGCAUCUGACCAGAACACGUCCGACAGUGAGGGACGAAAGCCAGGGGAGCGAACCGGAUUAGAUACCCGAGUAGUCCUGGCCGUAAACGCUGCGAGCUAGGCGUUGCACUACUUAUGUGGUGGUGCAGUGUCGAAGCGAAGGCGAUAAGCUCGCCGCCUGGGGAGUACGGUCGCAAGGCUGAAACUUAAAGGAAUUGGCGGGGGAG
rnacentral:rRNA from 1 species